GCCAAUGUGGUAUAGUGGUUUCAGUGUGGGACUUGGGCUUCAGGAGAUCAAGGUUUGAAUCCUUGCUUAGUCU